rnacentral:rRNA from 1 species
UGCUUUCUUUGCCGGCGACCGGCGCACAGGUGAGUAACACGUAUCCAACCUGCCCUUUACUCGGGGAUAGCCUUUCGAAAGAAAGAUUAAUACCCGAUAGCAUAAUGAUUCCGCAUGGUUUCAUUAUUAAAGGAUUCCGGUAAAGGAUGGGGAUGCGUUCCAUUAGGUUGUUGGUGAGGUAACGGCCCACCAAGCCUUCUAUGGAUAGGGGUUCUGAGAGGAAGGUCCCCCACAUUGGAACUGAGACACGGUCCAAACUCCUACGGGAGGCAGCAGUGAGGAAUAUUGGUCAAUGGGCGCUAGCCUGAACCAGCCAAGUAGCGUGAAGGAUGAAGGCUCUAUGGGUCGUAAACUUCUUUUAUAUAAGAAUAAAGUGCAGUAUGUAUACUGUUUUGUAUGUAUUAUAUGAAUAAGGAUCGGCUAACUCCGUGCCAGCAGCCGCGGUAAUACGGAGGAUCCGAGCGUUAUCCGGAUUUAUUGGGUUUAAAGGGAGCGUAGGUGGACUGGUAAGUCAGUUGUGAAAGUUUGCGGCUCAACCGUAAAAUUGCAGUUGAUACUGUCAGUCUUGAGUACAGUAGAGGUGGGCGGAAUUCGUGGUGUAGCGGUGAAAUGCUUAUAUAUCACGAAGAACUCCGAUUGCGAAGGCAGCUCACUGG